ACUCGGAUAAGGCACUCUAUUUUGUGAAUUCUAUCAAAAUAAAUUACCUUAUCCUUGGA
rnacentral:pre_miRNA from 1 species